UACGUAGGGUGCAAGCGUUAAUCGGAAUUACUGGGCGUAAAGCGUGCGCAGGCGGUUUUGCAAGACAGAUGUGAAAUCCCCGGGCUCAACCUGGGAACUGCAUUUGUGACUGCAAGGCUAGAAUCUGGCAGAGGGGGGUAGAAUUCCACGUGUAGCAGUGAAAUGCGUAGAUAUGUGGAGGAAUACCGAUGGCGAAGGCAGCCCCCUGGGCUAAGAUUGACGCUCAUGCACGAAAGCGUGGGGAGCAAAAGGG
rnacentral:rRNA from 1 species